UUAGAAUUCAGGAGGGGCCACCCCUAGUUCCCAGUUCAGUGGCUGGCAGCAGGUCCAGCAGUGGCAUUUCCCAGAAAUGAGACUUCCUGGGAGCAGCCUCGAUGGGAGGGGCUGGACGCCCUCUGUCAGAGAAGGGAAAAGGAGGGACUAGAGGAAACUUCACUUGAGACACAGCUAAAAAGAAAAGCCUUCUGUCGGUGACAUGGGCACCCCUUCUCCACUCGGGCACAUACAGCUUUAGAGGUAGCUGUGAAACAGGAAAGACUACUGCAUAUGGCAGGGCAAUGUAUUCACUGCACAAGCACACCAGGCUGAGCGGAUUCAAGUUUGGCAGCAGAGCACCAUGACUUGGGUGGAAGCUUUCUUGUGCAACUGUCACAGGGGGUGAAGACUCUAACAGUGGAAGAAAAUCAGUGGAUGUACACUUUGUGAACGGUGAGGCACUGUAUUUCCAUGGUUUCUGUUCAAACAAAAGUGAAAAUCUUUUCAACUGUGUUCUUUUCCUCAGGUCCAUCAUUACACUAUCACUGCCUUAGUGAGACAAGAAAUAACCAUUUGAAGGAAGCCAAACAGAGGCUUCCUUCUCCCAAGACAAACAACAUAAACUAUAAGGAAGAGGCAAACAUGCCCACUUUAUAGUUUUAUGCUCAGGCUAAGAGAAAAUGAAGCUUCCCUGAUGGCUCAGACGGUAAAGCGUCUGCCCGAAAUGCGGGAGACCUGGGUUUGAUCCCUGGGUCGGGAAGAUC